UUACGGCCAUAUGAUGCUGAAACACCGAUUUCCGUACGAUCAACGAAGUUAAGCAACAUCGAGCCUAGUCAGUAUCAAGUUGGGUGUCCAUUUGAGAUGAGCUGGUGUU